CUUCGGGUGAAGCUAGUGGCGGACGGGUGAGUAACACGUAGGCAACCUGCCUGCAAGAUCGGGAUAACUACCGGAAACGGUAGCUAAGACCGAAUAGCUGGUUCUGGCGCAUGCCGGGAUCAUGAAACACGGAGCAAUCUGUGACUUGCAGAUGGGCCUGCGGCGCAUUAGCUAGUUGGUGAGGUAAGAGCUCACCAAGGCGACGAUGCGUAGCCGACCUGAGAGGGUGAUCGGCCACACUGGGACUGAGACACGGCCCAGACUCCUACGGGAGGCAGCAGUAGGGAAUCUUCCGCAAUGGACGCAAGUCUGACGGAGCAACGCCGCGUGAGUGAUGAAGGUUCUCGGAUCGUAAAGCUCUGUUGCCAGGGAAGAACGCCUCGGAGAGUAACUGCUCGGAGGGUGACGGUACCUGAGAAGAAAGCCCCGGCUAACUACGUGCCAGCAGCCGCGGCAAUACGUAGGGGGCAAGCGUUG
rnacentral:rRNA from 1 species